rnacentral:tRNA from 1 species
GUGGGUAUAGCUCAGUGAUAGAGCAUAUGCUUAGCAUGCAUGAAGUCCUGGGUUCAAUCCCCAGUAUCUCCA